GCAGACGAACGGUUAGCUUUUACGUAUUCGAAGGAAGCAGCCCUGACACAGUCCGCUUUACAGUGGGCUCUGAAGACUCACCAUCUUAUGAGGGAAAGUGCUACUACACCGACUAUGAAAACUGCUCUGUCCUCGACAUUCCAUACAAUGGACGCCAAUGUAUGUUGUGGACGAAAGAAACAGCCAAAGAUGUGGUGCCCCAAGAAUGCUUGGAUGAGUUCAUGAAGUAUUGUGGCGUCGGCGCUCCCCUUUACAACGGGGACCUUUGCAGUGAAGAUGAAGUUGCCGAAUG
rnacentral:lncRNA from 1 species